CAAACUUUGAACCUACAUUUUAACCACACAAUCAUCAAUAUGCAGAACGAGCACGGACAGGGCAUUUCCCACGCGGUUGGUGACUCCAAGGUUCCUGGAUCCGUCCAGCAGAAGGCACCCCAGGGUCUUGAGGAGAGCCUUCCCAACAAGGUCCACGACACUGGCUCCGGCACUGGUCGCCAGACCCAUGCCAAGGAUGGCGGCGACGCCUCCAUAGUCCCCAAGGGCAUCCAGAAGGCCGUCCCCGAGAAGCUCGAGCGCGCCCUUCCAGACUCCAUCCACGACACCGGCGACCACGGCGGUGCUAAGCACUAGAUGCUUUACCAAGUAUGACGAUAUGAAGAUAUGAUGCUCAAGAG
rnacentral:misc_RNA from 1 species